rnacentral:rRNA from 1 species
UACGAAGGGGGCGAGCGUUGUUCGGAUUUACUGGGCGUAAAGGGCGCGCAGGCGGCUCAGAAAGUCGGAUGUGAAAGCCCUGGGCUUAACCUAGGAAGUGCAUUCGAAACUUUCUGAGCUGGAGUUCUGGAGAGGAAGGCGGAAUUCUCGGUGUAGAGGUGGAAAUUCGUAGAUAUCGAGAGGAACGACCGUGGCGGAAGGGCGGCCUUACCUGGGACCAUGUGUACUGAGCGACCCUG